rnacentral:rRNA from 1 species
UACGAAGGGGGCUAGCGUUGCUCGGAUUGACUGGGCGUAAAGGGCGCGUAGGCGGUUUGUACAGUCAGACGUGAAAUUCCCGGGCUCAACCUGGGGGCUGCGUUUGAUACGUGCAGACUUGAGUUCGGAAGAGGGUCGUGGAAUUCCCAGUGUAGAGGUGAAAUUCGUAGAUAUUCGGAAGAACACCAGUGGCGAAGGCGACUUACUGGUCCAUGACUGACGCUGAGGCUCGAAAGCGUGGGGAGCAAACAGG